rnacentral:rRNA from 1 species
AGCAGUGAGGAAUAUUGGUCAAUGGGCGAGAGCCUGAACCAGCCAAGUCGCGUGAGGGACGACGGCCCUACGGGUUGUAAACCUCUUUUGCCGGGGGACAAACGGCGGCACGCGUGCCGUCCUGAGGGUACCCGGAGAAAAAGCAUCGGCUAACUCCGUGCCAGCAGCCGCGGUAAUACGGAGGAUGCGAGCGUUAUCCGGAUUUAUUGGGUUUAAAGGGUGCGUAGGCGGGAUGCCAAGUCAGCGGUCAAAUACGGGGGCUCAACCUGCGUCCGCCGUUGAAACUGGCGUUCUUGAGUGGGCGAGAAGUACGCGGAAUGCGUGGUGUAGCGGUGAAAUGCAUAGAUAUCACGCAGAACCCCGAUUGCGAAGGCAGCGUACCGGCGCCCGACUGACGCUGAAGCACGAAAGCGUGGGUAUCGAACAGGAUUAGAUACCCUGGUAGUCCACGCAGUAAACGAUG